UUUCCGUAGGCGAACCUGCGGAAGGAUCAUUAAUGUACCCGGACCGUUCUUUUGCCGUCAAACGCAUUAUAGCGGAAAGGGAGAUAUCAUACACCCUGUGUUUAUUUACCUUUGUUGCUUUGGCGGGCCGUCCUUUACAGCGUCGGCUUCGUCUGAUCGUGCCCGCCAGAGUACGCAAACUUUUCUAUCAGUGAUGUCUGAGUACUAUAUAAUAGUUAAAACUUUCAACAACGGAUCUCUUGGUUCUG
rnacentral:misc_RNA from 1 species